UACGUAGGGUGCAAGCGUUGUCCGGAAUUAUUGGGCGUAAAGAGCUCGUAGGCGGUCUGUCGCGUCGGAUGUGAAAACCCGCGGCUUAACCGUGGGCUUGCAGCUGAUACGGGCAGGCUAGAGUUCGGUAGGGGAGACUGGAAUUCCUGGUGUAGCGGUGAAAUGCGCAGAUAUCAGGAGGAACACCGGUGGCGAAGGCGGGUCUCUGGGCCGAUACUGACGCUGAGGAGCGAAAGCGUGGGGAGCGAACAGG
rnacentral:rRNA from 1 species